rnacentral:misc_RNA from 1 species
GAUGAAGAACGCAGUGAAAUGCGAUAAGUAGUGUGAAUUGCAGAAUUCAGUGAAUCAUCGAAUCUUUGAACGCACAUUGCGCCCUUUGGUAUUCCAAAGGGCAUGCCUGUUCGAGCGUCAUUUGUACCCUCGAGCUUUGCUUGGUGUUGGGCGUCUUGUCUCUAGCUUUGCUGGAGACUCGCCUUAAAGUAAUUGGCAGCCGGCCUACUGGUUUCGGAGCGCAGCACAAGUCGCACUCUCUAUCAGCAAAGGUCUAGCAUCCAUUAAGCCUUUUUUUCAACUUUUGACCUCGGAUCAGGUAGGGAUACCCGCUGAACUUAAGCAUAUCGAUAAGCGGAGGA